rnacentral:rRNA from 1 species
AUGGAUGAGGUCACAAGGGAUAUACAAGGAGAUAUCACAUGGUGUAUGCUCUUUGUGGAUGAUGUGGUGCUAGUUGACGAUAGUCGGACGAAGGUAAAUAUAAAGUUAGAGUUAUGGAGACAAACCUUGGAAUCGAAAGAGUUUAGGCUUAGUAGAACUAAAACCGAGUACAUGAUGUGCGGUUUCAGUACUACUAGGUGCGAGAAGGAGGAGGUUAGCCUUGAUGGCCAGGUGGUACCCCAGAAGGACACCUUUCGGUAUUUGAGGUCAAUGCUGCAGGAGGAUGGGGGUAUUGAUGAAGAUGUGAACCAUCGAAUCAAAGCCGGAUGGAUGAAGUGGCGCCAAGCUUCUGGCGUUCUCUGCGACAAGAGUGCCACAAAAGCUAAAAGGCCUCCGGAAGCUCCAGUGCAUAGCGGACGACUAAAGCGUGCGGAGAAUGUCAAGAGAGGGCGGGGUAGACCGAAUUUUACAUGGGAGGAGUCCGUUAAGAGAGACAUGAAGGAUUGGAGUAUCACCAAAGAGCUAGCUAUGGACAGGGACGCGUGGAAGCUUGCUAUCCAUGUGCCAGAGUCAUGA